rnacentral:tRNA from 1 species
GGAGAGGUGGCCGAGUGGCUUAAGGCGCACGCUUGGAAAGCGUGUAUACUCCAAAAGGGUAUCCGGGGUUCGAAUCCCCGUCUCUCCG